rnacentral:rRNA from 1 species
CCUACGGGUGGCAGCAGUGAGGAAUAUUGGGCAAUGGGCGCGAGCCUGAACCAGCCAAGUAGCGUGAAGGAUGACUGCCCUACGGGUUGUAACCUUCUUUUAUAAAGGAAUAAAGUGAGGCACGUGUGCCUUUAUGUAUGAACUUUAUGAAUAAGGCUCGACUAACUCCGUGACAGCAGCCGCGGUAAUACGGAGGAUCCGAGCGUUAUCCGGAUUUAUUGGGUGUAAAGGGAGCGUAGAUGGGUUGUUAAGUCAGUUGUGAAUGUUUGCGGCUCAACCCUAAAAUUGCAAUUGAUACUGGCAGUCUUGAGUACAGUUGAGGUAGGCGGAAUUCGUGGUGUAGCGGUGAAAUGCUUAGAUAUCACGAAGAACUCCGAUUGCGAAGGCAGCUUACUAAACUGCCACUGACAUUGAUGCUCGAAAGUGUGGGUAUCAAACAGGAUUAGAUACCCCUGUAGUC